CGCGUAGGCGGCCCGGAAAGUGUCCUGUGAAAGCCCCCGGCUCAACCGGGGAACGGCAGGGCAAACUCCCGGGCUUGAGGUCGGCAGAGGUGCCUGGAACUCUCGGUGGAGCGGUGAAAUGCGUAGAUAUCGAGAGGAACGCCGGAGGCGAAAGCGGGGCACUGGGCCGAUUCUGACGCUGAGGCGCGAAAGCGUGGGGAGCAAACAGGAUUAGAUACCCUGGUAGUCCACGCCGUAAACGAUGCACACUAGGUUCGGGUGUCUCUGACGGCUUCCGAGCCGCAGCAAAAGUGCUAAGUGUGCCGCCUGGGGAGUACGGCCGCAAGGCUAAA
rnacentral:rRNA from 1 species